AUGGUGGCUUGUAGGCGGAUGUGUCUCAGACCUAAGUUUUUGCCGCUGGACCGUGGUUACAUUCAUCCUAGCUUGGAGGCAACGGUGUGGGUGGGUAUGCAUGUGCAAGGCGAAGAAGUGGACAAAGGCCGACGAAGCAAUCUCUGCCUCCCUAUCGCCGCGUCCUGCUCCUCAAUAUGUCACCUUAGUCAUGGCCGCCUUAUCCCUCAUGCUGCUUAUUUGAACCUGCCCUACUCUUCUUCUCCUAGGCUGCUCGAGCGCUUCAGCGGGUGCCUUGCUGACGACAGGGAAGGAAGGACCAGAAGUGACGGCUAUAGCGCCAGGAAUUUGGAAACCAUAGCAAUUGAUCUUCUUUAUAAAACGUCUGUGGCAAGGGACGUGGAACCUUCUUCAGGCAAGAAGAGAUGGAUCAUGUGA
rnacentral:rRNA from 1 species